GGGCUUGUAGCUCAGUUUGGCAGAGCACCGGACUUUUAAUCCGAUGGUCGCGGGUUCAAAUCCCGUCAAGCCCG
rnacentral:tRNA from 3 species